GGGAGAAGGAGGAUUCUUAUAGCAAAAUGCUGACCCCCAGGCUCAACACCCUUGGUUAUGGUGGUCCAAUCCCAUCGCCUCCACUUCAGAGAAAUGCACCAUUCCCAGUGCAUGACUGGCAGCCAGCGUUUGCCAUCUGCUGUGGCCCCUUAUUACGGAUUCAUAGCAAACAUAUGUGACAAUUAGAUCCAUAAAACAUCUCGUGGAUCAUAUGUGACUGAAAUGCAGGCAUAUGCUCUCUGCCCAGUUGUAGUGGAAAUGCUAAAUAAUGGCCUGAUGCAGUGGUGGAGCACCUGGGGGGAAGGCAGGGCCAGCUCAGGGCAGCUCAGGGCAGCUCAGGUGCAUGCAAUGUGCUGAGUGAUGGAAGGGCUGCAGCCAGGAUCCACCCCUUCCCAGCCCUCAUUUAAGGGUUGGUAGUGGAGGCAAAAGGAUCUUGCUGGAGAUCUCUGCCUGCCUGAGGCCUUUGGAAGAAAGACGGAAGAAAGUCUCUUUUGUGCAGCCUGAAUUGCCUUGCACAGCACACACCGAAACCCCAGGCUGAGGUGCAGCAAGGGCAGCUGCUCAUCUGAUUUGCCUCAGCAAUGGGUUCAGCUGGCGUUUGCUACGAACUCUUUUCAAACUUAAGUUCCCCUGAGCCCUGGGGAUAGUUUGCUAUUUCAAAGCCAACCCACUGAGGACCCCAAGGCAGCAGUUGGAGCAAAGCUCACAGCCUCUCCCUUUGGAAAAGCCUUCCAAGCACAAGUUUUUGGUCUUCAGCACAGCACAACAAGGGAUAUUCUGGGAGCCAGCUUGUUCUCCUGGUAUGUUUCUUCUCCCUGCCUCCUGCUGCCACUUCAUGGC
ensembl:lncRNA